UACGGAGGAUGCGAGCGUUAUCCGGAUUUAUUGGGUUUAAAGGGUGCGCAGGCGGUCUGUUAAGUCAGCGGUCAAAGCCCGGGGCUCAACCCCGGCCCGCCGUUGAAACUGGCAGUCUCGAGUUGGAGAGAAGUAUGCGGAAUGCGCGGUGUAGCGGUGAAAUGCAUAGAUAUCGCGCAGAACUCCGAUUGCGAAGGCAGCAUGCCGGCUCCACACUGACGCUGAGGCACGAAGCGUGGGUAGUCGAA
rnacentral:rRNA from 1 species